rnacentral:rRNA from 1 species
UACGGAGGGUGCGAGCGUUGUUCGGAAUUAUUGGGCGUAAAGAGCGUGUAGGCGGCCGGAUAAGUCAGGUGUGAAAGCCCUUGGCUCAACUGAGGAAGUGCAUUUGAAACUGUCCGGCUUGAGUUUGGGAGGGGGAAGCGGAAUUCCUGGUGUAGAGGUGAAAUUCGUAGAUAUCAGGAGGAACACCGGUGGCGAAGGCGGCUUCCUGGACCGAUACUGACGCUGAGACGCGAAAGCGUGGGGAG